GCGGUGAUGGGAGGAUAAACACAGACACAUACACAUGUAUUUAUACGACAGGCUUCUUUCAAUUUCCGCCUCAAAAGGCUUUGGUCGCCCCGGAGAAAUAGUAGGAAACACUUGCAUAAGAUGCCACGCAGUGAGACUGAAGCCGGAACCAUGUUAUUGUGAAGCAAGCUCCUUACCACACGCCUACGCCUAUAUAUGUAUGUAUGUAUAUAUAUGAGAAUAUUUAUAUAAACAAACUUCGAAGCACCUAGUGAGUUGGUAUUUUAUAGAAAAUAAAGGAAGUCUCGAACACAAAAUAGCUGAGUACAAAGCACUCAACCGGAAUUUGAGAGAUACAGGGUUGGACACUGUAAGACCUUGCUAGCCAAUUUUUGCCUCAUCUAAGGGUAUGUACCCAAACUUGUAAGCUGAUUUCACAACUAUUCUGUGUUUGAGACUUCCUUUUAUUUUCUGUAAAAUACACACAAACACACACGCACACACAUACACGAUGGGAUUAAUAUGGUUUCAGUCUACCAAAUUCACAAUUUCGCCUACAAGGUAUUGUUCCCAUGCCGCGAGACUGAAGCAGAAAUCACGUCGUUGGGAAGCAAACUUCUUAACAGCACAAUUAUGCAUGCAUGUAUGUAUGCAUGUAUAUGUGUGUGUGUGUGUGUGUGUGUUGCGGCAAGAGUCAUUGACACCUCUGUGGGAUUGGAUGAAUGGACUAGCUGAACUCUUAUAAAGAGUAGCGUAUUCGUUGACGAAGUCGUAUGAGUCGCUGAGAGUUCAUGGAAGUCGUUGAGAGUUUGUAUUUAUUGGAAUAUCGUGUUUAGUGGAGUAUUUUGCAGUACAUUGUGUGAAGACAGUUAUGCCUAUCCUCGCUUCGUGAAAUCUGUAUAUCCACUAUAUACAAGUAUAUAAAAGUGGCCACGAGUUUAUUCGAAGCUUACGCCAGGCGUUAACUUUUUUUUUUUACAAUAAUCAAAGAAAAAUUAAUUAACAUGGAAUAUUUAUUAGCCUCCGUGGUGCAUCUGCAAGAGCAACAGCAGCAACAGUUAUAGCAACAAUGAAAACAACAACACCAAUACCAACAGUUGCUGGAAUUAAUGUUGAAGUUCAAAAAUACUUCAGGUUUGUUCUCGCCAGACGGCAUUUGCAGAAUUUAGUUAUAACCCAGAAGGUAUUACUUUUUCUGCAUAUUUCCGAAGAUAUGAAGAAAUCUUCAAAGAGGAAUGCAAAAAUUGGACGGACAAUGAAAAGGUACGACUACUUUUAAGAAAAUUAUCCCCUGCCGAACACGAAAAAUAUUGUAACUACAUUCUGCGGAGCUUUUCCUUUUGAACGGGUCAUGUCAACACAAUUUCUAGUCAACUAAACACUUUAAAACUUCGUAUACUGGUAGAAUGUGUCAAAAUAAAACAUUUUUUUCUCUUGGCUUUCUUGAUAAAAUUGUAAUUCGUUUGUUUAACGUAGUUUAAUUUUUCGAAUUUUAACCAAUGAAUCACCUCUAAUUGAGCUAAAAUCAUUUGCUGCGUCUAAAACUGGGACAACAUUCAGUCACUAACCCUAACCCUCACCCUAAAUUUUAGCCUUUCGUUUUUUUUCUUCUUAAUUGUUAAAUUAACUUAAGGAUAACAAUUAAGAAAAAAACGAAAGGCUAAAACGAAAGCAAUGGAAAAUAAAAUUUAGGGUUAGGGUUAGGGUGAGGGUUAGGGUUAGUGACAGGAUGUUGUCUCAGUUUUAGAUGCAGCAAAUGAUUUUAGCUCACUAGAGGCGAUUCAUUGGUUAAAAUUCGAAAAAUUAAACUACGUUAAACAAACAAAUUACAAUUUUCUCAAGAAAGCCAAGAGAAAAAAAAAUGUUUUAUUUUGACACAUUCUACCAGUAUAUGAAGUUUUAAAGUGUUUAGUUAACUAGAAAUUGUGUUGAAAACUGCCGUUCAAAAGGAAAGGAUCCCAUUCUGCCAAAAAUCCACGUGAAAUUUGUUACGACGAAACAAUUAAAUUGUUAUCGAAUUUUUUCAGUGAGAGAAGUUCCCUGUUCAGUACUCGCUGGGAGUGUUUGAAUUUAGUUAAAAAAAGAUGAAGAUUUCGUCACCUAUACCAGAGUCGUCAAUCGAGAAUGCGAAAGAUUCAAACUAAAAGAAUUAACCCCAAACAUGUUCAAAUGUCUAAUUUUUGUUCUAAGGUUAACUGCAAGCAAAAAUGCAGAGAUACUUCUCCGGAUAUUGACAAAAUUGGAACAGGACCUAAUUGAAGAAAACUCUCACAUACAUUGCGUGUUGACCUGUAACGGAUAUGGAAACAGAAAAACGUAGAUCAAGACCCAAUUCAUGCUAUGAGUUUGGAGGUCUACAUUUAAAAAAUAACUGUCCGUUUAAAAAUUUAAAAUGUUUUAACUGCAAAAAAAAAUCGGACAUAAAAGCUCACAUUGCAGAGCAGAGAAAAAAAGGUCGGACGGAAAAAAAUCUGGAAAUGUUUUCUCAACAGAAAGUUUAGGUGAAGCUCAUAAAAGUAAGUUUGUGUACGUAAAAAUUAAUAAUGUGAACGUGAAGUUACAGCUAGAUACAGGCAGUAAUAUUACAAUUAUUAACACUGACACAUAGAGAAAAAUAGGAAAGUCUACAUUAAAAAUUGCGAAAGGUGUCUCAGGAAAAAAUUACAUCUUUUGGGCGAAAUGAUAACUGAAGUUACAUUUAGGUGUUAAACCUUGAAAACGAAAGUUUUUGAGUUAAUUAAUGCAACAAACUUGUUCGGUACUGACUGGAUGGAAUUGUUUAAUUUAUGGGACCUCCCCAUAAAUCUUUUCAGUAUAAAUAUAAAUAGUUUUUCCUUCAGUAAAAACAAGUCGUCAGACGAAUUGAAAGAAAAAGUAAAAAUAUUUUUCCUGAAUUUCUGUCCGAUAAAUUAGUUCUGUGUACCAAAACAAGGGCGUGUUUUCAAAUAAAGAAAAACGUCAGACUAGUAUUUAAACCUAAACGAAUGGUACCCUUCGCAGCGAUGAAGCAAGUCAAUGAAGAACUAGAGAAACUAAAAAAAUUGGAGUUAUCCAAAAAGUGGAAUAUUCUAAAUGGGCAGCACCAACUGUAUAUAUUAAGAAAAUGAAUAAUAUAUUCAGUGUGCGCUGAUUUUUCCACUAGUUUAAACGAAUAUCUUAAAACGUUACACUAUCCGCUUCCUACUCCGAAGAAUAUUUGUGCGAAAUUAAUUUUCUAAAUUGGAUCUCUCUGACACGUACCUACAAAUUAGAAUAGACGAUUAAUGCUCUAAAUACCUAACAAUUAACACACCUAAAGGACUGUAUAGGUUACCAUUUGGUUUAAAAGUGGCACCAGCGAUUUUUCAACGGAUUAUGAAUGCAGUGUUAGCAGACUGUGAAUUCGCAAUUCCAUAUCUGGAUCAUACACUCAACAAAAGCGAAUCCAGGGAUCAAAACAUUGAGCACGUAAAAUAUGUAUUUGAAAAAAUUAAGGAUUACGGCUUUACCUUGAAUGAAGAAAAGUGUGAAUUGUUCUUACCGGAAAUAAGAUAUUUGACAAAUAUAGACGACGACCUGACCCGUCGAAGGCAGACGCAAUCAAAAGUAUGCCUCCUCCGACAAAUAUAGCCACCUUACAAACAUUUUUAGGACUCGCAAAUUAUUACCAAAAUUAUAUCCCAAAUAUGCAUAAGGUUAGAGUUCCACUGAAUAAUUUGUUGAAAAAAGAUAUGAAAUAGGAUUGGACAGAAAAUUGCCAAAAGGCGUUUCACGAAGUUAAAAAUAUAUUAACAUCAUAGGCGUAGAAGUGGCUGUGUGGUAAGUAGCUUGCUUACGAACCACAUUUGUUCGACUAAAGGUGGUGCUCCAGCAUGGCCGCAGUAAAUUAUUGAAACAAAUAAAAG
rnacentral:lncRNA from 1 species